GUAAAUAAUACUUUAUUAUUUUAAUUCUUUAUUUGUUUACACAAUUGUAUAUAUUUAUAUUCUUUAUUUUAUUUUUGUAAAUAAUACUUUUCUUUAUUUGUUUACACAAUUACAGGUGUACCCUCAAUCCUCGGUUAGAACGAUCCCUACUUAUUCUAUACUAACGAUGACAUUUUACAGGGUUAAAUUACGCGUUCAUUUUGUGCGUGUCAUUUUUUGGCGCCGUUGCCAGGGAUUGACACUCAUUUUAAGCGUGUCAAUUUUUGGCGCCGUUGCCGGGGAUUGACACUCAUUUUGAGCGUGUCAAUUUUUGGCGCCGUUGCCGGAGAUUGACACUCAUUUCGAGCUUGUCAAUUUUUGGCGCCGUUGCCGGGAAGAUGCUCAUUUUGUGCGUGUCAGCAAACAGACGACGCCGUUAGAGAUUUUUGACCGAAGUAUCACUUCGAUGUCAAAAUACGUCUUUAGGUAUCACAUUGAUACUUUUGAGAGUUCGGGUAUCAAAUUGGCCUUGGCAGCAUAGUUUGGGGAUGGUAGCUGAAAUUUUCUUUUUUUGAGGAAUUAACAAAAAAAAGGUAAAAAGUCGAUUUUGCCCUUUUUUUUAGACCCACGUGCUUGCCACAUCAACAAACAAAUGGCGCCGUCAGAAAUUUUGGACGGAAGUAUCACGUUGAUGCCAAUUUAGGUCUUUAGGUAUCAC
rnacentral:lncRNA from 1 species